AUUGAACGCUGGCGGCAGGCUUAACACAUGCAAGUCGAGCGGGGAAAGGUAGCUUGCUACUUAACCUAGCGGCGGACGGGUGAGUAAUGCUUAGGAAUCUGCCUAUUAGUGGGGGACAACAUCUCGAAAGGGAUGCUAAUACCGCAUACGUCCUACGGGAGAAAGCAGGGGACCUUCGGGCCUUGCGCUAAUAGAUGAGCCUAAGUCGGAUUAGCUAGUUGGUGGGGUAAAGGCCUACCAAGGCGACGAUCUGUAGCGGGCCUGAGAGGAUGAUCCGCCACACUGGGACUGGGACACGGCCCAGACUCCGACGGGAGGCAGCAGUGGGGAAUAUUGGACAAUGGGGGGAGCCCUGAUCCAGCCAUGCCGCGUGUGUGAAGAAGGCCUUUUGGUUGUAAAGCACUUUAAGCGAGGAGGAGGCUACCGAGAUUAAUACUCUUGGAUAGUGGACGUUACUCGCAGAAUAAGCACCGGCUAACUCUGUGCCAGCAGCCGCCGUAACAC
rnacentral:rRNA from 1 species